AUGGCCAUUGCACCCGAUUUUCUGUCCAUGUGGCGUAUGUUACAGGCCGAAAACACGGUGCUGUGCCCACAAGAGGACGACCGCAUACGAUGGAGGCACACCAGCAAUGGCUGCUACUCUGCAAAUUCAGCAUACAACAUGCAGUUUCAGGCCCCGGGUCAGCCCAUGUUCAACAACCUAAUCUGGAAGGUCUGGGCUCCAAACAAGCACAAGAUGUUCAUGUGGCUACUUCUCCAGGACAGGCUUUGGUGCAACGAUCGACUUCAGAGGAGGGGUUGGCCGAACAAUUACUUCUGCCAAUUGUGCCUUCGCAAUCUGGAAACGUCCACACAUUUGUUUUGGGAUUGCAGUUUCGCGCGGGAAAUUUGGCUGCUCACGGCAAGGCGUUCUGGAUGCUCCUCUCUAUCAUCAUUGACCGGGGGCCUCACCUCAUCAGCUCAAAUAUGCCAGCAGGCCAUCAACCAGACUUCACCACAUAACAGAAGAGCAAUCAGAUCAAUGAUCAUUAUGGUUCUGUGGGAGAUCUGGAACGAGAGGAAUGAAUGCACCUUCAGGGGGGCGACUCCAAGUCAUCAGCGGAUAUGUGCAAAGAUCAGUAGUAACUUAGAACAAUGGAGAUUGGCAGGAGCAAAGAAAUUAGAGGCCCCGUUCGGGGAAAUGUUGGGAGAAGAUUGA
rnacentral:rRNA from 1 species